UUCACCAGGGAAUAGCUCCAUAUUUCCAUUGGAAAAUGUUCCGCCCCAUUGUAAUGGAACUGGAUUAUCCUGUCAUAGAAACAAUACAGAUAAUCUGUGCACGGUAAUGACUAAUAAUUCAAACUCUCUCGUGAGUGAGAGAUGCGAUAAUCCUCACUCUUCUCUGUGUAUACUUGAUAUAGGUAUGUUCUCGUUGUAUAUCACCACCAAUUCUCAUUUUACAUUCAUUAGAGAUUCAGUAAUAAUAUUUUCAAAUCUUUUUUAUUCCCUUACCCAAAAAGUCUCUUGCUAUUAAAAAGUAUGUUAAAUAGGUGCAUUGUUUAAUGAAUUUUUAAAUCAUCAUUUCUGACUAAACCGUUUACCCAUUUUCUUUUAUCAUAGAUGCAGCGUGUAACCGGAUGCACUGCCAUAGGGAUUAUUACCUUAUCAUCCUCAUAGUAGUGAGUGCAUUGAUACUCUCCACAACAUUAGCAGUGGUAGUUUGGCUUCUUGUAUAUAAGCGGGGCAAGAAAAGAAGGCGGUCUAGAAAAAUAUCUGUUCCAGGAGCUUCUCUUCCAUCAUGGAAAGUCUUCACCAAAGAGGAAUUAAGGUCAAUUACGAAGAAUUUCAGUGAAGGUAAUCGUCUUGUUGGUGAUACCAAGACUGGUGGUACAUACAGUGGGGUUUUAUCAGAUGGUUCGAGGGUUGCAGUUAAGAGAUUAAAGAGGACAAGCUUUCAGAGGAAAAAGGAGUUUUAUUCUGAAAUUAGCAGGGUUGCUAGGCUUCGAUAUCCCAAUCUGGUUGCUGUGAUGGGAUGCUGCUAUGAUCACGGUGAUCGCUACAUUGUUUAUGAAUUUGUAGCUAAUGGUCCCUUAGAUAAAUGGCUGCAUCACAUACCUAGGGGAGGUCGUAGCUUAGAUUGGGCUAUGAGGAUGAAAAUUGCUACAACGCUUGCUCAAGGAAUUGCGUAUGUUCAAAAUAUACUUUUUAUUUUGCUAACUUACUACAUUUUAUCUACAAUUUUUCGCACUCCUUGUUCAUGUGCAUAUUUCACUCAAAUUAACAAAAAAUUUCUUAUGAUACAAUUUUUUUGCUAUAAAUGUGGGCAUUUUGGUUAUUCUGUUGUAUUUGUGUGCAUUCUUUGUAAUAUGCACGGUAUUAUGACUUUUAAGAUUCUAAAUUUCACAAGGGAACAUUUAAUUUAAUACUUGGAUUGUGUCUGGUGCAUGGACAAAUUGAAAUGAAAUGAUUUUUCUUUACAUUCUGUUUUCUUUGAUGUUCCACCCUUUUAAUUGGAACCUGAGUGUUUCAUUUUUAAACUGUCCUUUUCAAUUCUUUCUUUACAAUGUAGCAACAAUAGAAUAGAACUCGAGAUAUGUUUUGUUCCAUUCUACCAUGUCUAAAUGUCACUGGUCUCAUUGAUUAUUAAAUUGAGUGAAGAACUUUCAUGUUCUAGAUUUCCCUGUCUCUAAAGUCCUACAGCCAUCCUGUUCUUGAAUAUUAUUUUUGCAUGAGAAUAAUAUUCUCUUCAUUCUGUUUUUCGGUUUGGAAGAUAGGGAUUGCCAUUUGACCAAGUAAAUAUUACAAAGGAUGGUGGAGUGAAUGAAUUAAAAUAUGCUCUGCUGGUGUACUUGGCUCAAAACUUCACGUGGACGGUGGAGUUUCAGAGUAAAUGUCCCAGGAUCCCACAAUGCUAUUUCUGACAUUAGAUGAUCAUAGAGGAAGAUAGAGAUAUAGAGCUAAUUAUCUUAGCCCAUGGUUGUUUGUGUUGGAUCCACUAAUCUUGCAUUGCAUCUGUCUUAUAUUAUGUCCUCAUCUCACUAGUUAUCAUUAGAGGAUCCUGAUCCAUCUAGAAAAGAGGAAAUAAUUAAUGUGUUUUUUUAAUUGCUGGUUAGGUUUCAGUUUUCGUUUGCGUUAUGGGCUAUCUACAGUUUCUUUGUCCAGCACUAGCACAGUAAAAUUGAGAUUUUUGAAGAUGUUUUAAAUAUUAUCUUCUUUUCUAAUGUUUAUUUAUUAUAUUAUAUAAAAAUUUACAUUUCCCGAGCCUUGUAAAAUCAUUUAUGAAAGAUUUCAGUCCUUUAGCAUCAAAUCUUCAAGACUUUUUCCUGGUUAGUUAUAUAACGUUGCUUCAUUUCAUUGUUGCUGUCCUAUUGGUCCAGUGUAGUAGAUUAUGUUUUCCUUAGGGUAUGUUUGUUUACCUUCAUUAUGCAAACUCAUCAAUGCCUUGUGUGCUUUAUAGGAGAAUAUAACAUAGAAACCCGAUGGCUUUUAAGUGUCUAAAUAUGCAAUGUCAGUUAGCUUGUAAAAUCAUGCCAAGGGUAAAUAAGCCGUUAUCUACCUAUCAAGAAGAAAGGGUGGUGGGAAGGGAUGAAGAAAGAGAGGAGGAAAUAAUUUGAAACACAUGGCAGGGGAACCAUAUGCAUGUUUGUUGAGUUUUUUCAUAACGGUAAUUAUAAUUCCAUUCACUGUACAAAACUAUUCCUCUUGAGUUUGUUCCAAACUUGAUUUGCCAACCAAAAGUAAAUAAAUAAAUUAAAUAUUCCAUACUCUGCAGUAUUUUGAACUUAAAUGGAUAGAUUGAUUAAUGUAUAAUUGCGGCCUACGUCUCUAUUUCAACAGGUUUCUGCAUGACAAGGUUAAGCCACAAGUUGUGCAUCGAGAUAUACGUGCAAGUAAUGUACUCCUGGAUGAGGAGUUUGGAGCACGUCUGAUGGGUGUUGGUCUGUCCAAGAUUGUGCCGUACGAAGUAAUGCAUGAGAGAACUGUCAUGGCAGGUGGAACUUACGGAUAUCUUGCUCCAGAGUUUGUGUAUAGGAACGAGUUUACAACAAAGAGUGACGUAUAUAGUUUUGGCGUCCUACUACUUGAAAUAGUAAGCGGACGUAGACCUACACAGGCAGUUGAUUCCGUUGGUUGGCAGAGUAUCUUUGAGUGG
rnacentral:lncRNA from 1 species